ensembl:lncRNA
AAUUAUUUUAUUAUAAGGCAAAAUAAUAAAGUUAUGCCCAGUGCCCUCCAGAUCAACAAUUACUACAGCACUAUCUUCCUUACUCAAUAUUAAUUUAGCAGAAAUCAAACCAUUUAAAAUCCAACUGGUAUAUGCAUCCAUUCACUUCUCCUUCAAUCAAAACUGAAAGGGCCUGUCAACAGAGAAGCACACUUACAAGUGUGAAACCAUUUGACCAUGUUAUAUUUUAAUUUGCAGAGACAAAAAAGACAAGCAAUUUAUUUACAUAAAACUGUACAAAAGCAAAUUAAAUUAUGUAAAGUAUUUCAUAAAUAGUUGGACGAGUGUUUAAUACAUUUCGCCAUGUUUAGCAUAGUUGCGUGCAUAGUGACUCAUAAGAAACGAUGAUAAAUUGUCCUCUGCUUCACUAUCAACAUCCAAGUAGCAGAACAAUAGUCAAUGAUCAACAUUACAAACAGAUCGUACCACACUGAAUGCAAGUGCUUUAAAAUGUAGGAAAAAUUGUCUGAAAGUAAACCCUAGGUAGCUGAAAAAAUGAUGCCUUCCUCCAGAUGUUAUAUAUACCUCUGCCAGGUCACAACUAACAACUUUACAAUAUUUAUGAUCAUCUUCACUGUUUUGUUUUGUUUUUCCCCCUUAAGAAUUCGUCUUAUAUUUACUGCUGAUACAAUAUACCUAAAACUGUUGAGGUCUUCAGAUUUCUCAUGUCUGUUUUAGGAUAGCUUUUUGAUUCUUGGCAGUUUCUUCUGGUCUCUCUGUUUUAUUUUCCUAUAAGACAGCUUCCUAGGGUAACCUUUCAGCCAGACAUCUUCAGUACCAUCUUAGUUUUUCUUCCCAUAAAAAUAGUGCCUCUCUUGUUUUCUGAAACACAGGCAGCAGGCCAGUCAGAAACCAUAAUGAUAUCUGGAGGUUCAGAAUGAGCCUCAGAGGUUCAGAUUUUAGACUGAAGCUAAAGAUGUUUGAAUACACAUAAAUUGAUAUAGUUACUCAAUUUAUAAAUGUGUCCUAAUGUAUAAUGCAUGCAAAGUUCACUUGAGUUUCUUGGGUACAGAAAACAAAUAUGGUUUAUAUAGUGCAGAACCAAAAUGAAACAGCAGCUAAAAGAAAAAUAACAACAAAAGAAGAAAGACUAGAAAUGGAAAAUCAGUAUUUUACCUUGCAAAAUGGACUGAUUUCAUCCCUGAUAAUCUCUUUCUAUAUUACUAUUAUAAUAAAUGCAUUAGCCUUCUAGACCAAAUUAAGCAGCCUAUAUAAAUUUUGUUUUAUGAAUGAAUGAUAUUUAAGACUGGUCCACUAUCUGAGUUUGUCGGAAGGCAAAUUUUUAAUAUAUUAUUUAUUAUUUUCAGAAAAUAAACAUGGAUAAAUAUAUAGGAUCAGAAAAGUUGGGAAUAGCCCAUUUCCCCUCAUUGUCCAAACCCAACAACCGUUUUUUUACCAUAACAACAGGUAUAAAAGGCACAGUUGCUUAUUUUGCAUUCACUCAUUUAUUAUUUUUUUGUUUCUUUUUAUAGAUUUUUUUUCAAAAGCACUCUAUCUAUGGAGUGGCACCAGAUUUAACCUAUUCAAAAUAAAAGUCAUACAAACACAAAAUAGAUUUCUGUGCCAUGCCAGCUCAUUAUAAUAAUAAACAUGUUAUGAUAGCUAAUUCUACUAGAAAUACUGCGAAUACUUACAGUACACUGAAUUUUAUUCUUUCACACCCAUUUUAGUUCUAAAGAGGCUCACGAGUUAAAUGAUGAUGACAUGGCUAUCUUGUAUGUGGUGCAAAUGUCAUUGGGGAAUGUGGAUCCAAUUAAUCCAAAGGUCCCAUAUGACCCGUAUUAGCUUUAGAGACAACAGAAGGGUUUUAAGAUAGAGUGAAAUGAGCUAUCUAAUGUUUCAAGUGUAUCAUGAAAGAAAAAAAUGCAUUAAAAAAGUCUGUUUCACACCUGUGUUAUGCAAUUGAAUAUUUCCUUUGUAACGUGCAAGAAAAAAUAUGUAUACAUUUCAUAAGUAUCUUUAGAAGUAUUUUGUCUUAAUAGGUACUUACAGAUUAUACAAGGCAGAACUGCUUUAAUGCAGUUUCCUAACAAAGUACUAGAAUUGCAUCUUUCCAUAAUGUAAAUAAUAAUCAACCAUAAACAUUUUCAGUUACUGAUAUUUUAGUCCAAUGAUUUUUUUUCUUCAAUUACAUAUCUUCUUUCAUCCUA